UACGAGGGGUGCAAGCGUUGUUCGGAAUCACUGGGCGUAAAGGGUUCGUAGGCGGAAGAGCAAGCCAGGCGUUUAAUUCCGGGGCCUAACCCCGGGCUUGCGUUUGGAACUGCUUUUCUUGAAUGGUUCAGGGGCAGGCGGAAUUCCCGGUGUAGCGGUGGAGUGCGUAGAUAUCGGGAGGAACACCAAUAGCGAAGGCAGCCUGCUGGGAACACAUUGACGCUGAGGAACGAAAGCGUGGGGAGCAAACAGG
rnacentral:rRNA from 1 species